UUUGCCCCUAGUGCCCACAGCAGGGUGGGCCACGCCGUAAGCAGAGCUCCUCACCGGUUGCGGCAAUGACAGAAGAAAAAGUAUAUCAGCUGCCCAAAUGACUAUCUAAAUUGCUGGUAUUGGGGCCCAGGCUGAAAAACUGCUGGGCUGGACCCUGCCUUCUCACGUGAUGUUACGACCUUUCUGCUUGGAUCUGUGCAUGUCUGCAAAUUUCCAUUAUGGCUUUAUACUCCAAAGGACCUACUUCAAGCUGCUGGCCUGCAGUGUCGGGGGGAGUGGAUUCCCUGUCCGGACAGUGAGAGAAGAAGAGAAAAGAGAAGACAGUGUUAAUGUGAAUUGGUACCACUGUAAGCUGGCUUCGUGCUCUCUGGACCUGCAAAGGUUUUAAUAUGAUUCUCCUGGGGGGCAUUCA